GACGUAGGGCGCGAGCGUUGUCCGGAUUUAUUGGGCGUAAAGAGCUCGUAGGCGGCUUGUCGCGUCGACUGUGAAAUCCCGCGGCUCAACUGCGGGUCUGCAGUCGAUACGGGCAGGCGUAGAGUUCGGUAGGGGAGACUGGAAUUCCUGGUGUAGCGGUGAAAUGCGCAGAUAUCAGGAGGAACACCGGUGGCGAAGGCGGGUCUCUGGGCCGAUACUGACGCUGAGGAGCGAAAGCGUGGGGAGCAAACAGGAUUAGAACU
rnacentral:rRNA from 1 species